GUCUACGGCCAUGCCACCCUAAACAAGCCCAAUGUCUGAUCUCAGAAGCUAAGCAGGGUCGGGCCUGGUUAGUUACUUGGAUGGGAGACCACCUAGGAAGACCAGGUGCUAUAGGCA
rnacentral:rRNA from 1 species